rnacentral:rRNA from 1 species
UACAGAGACUGCAAGCGUUAUUCGGAUUCACUGGGCGUAAAGGGUGCGCAGGCGGCCAAGUGCGUGAGGCGUGAAAGCCCGGGGCUUAACUCCGGAAUUGCACCUCAAACUACAUGGCUAGAGCAUUGGAGAGGGUAGCAGAAUUCACGGUGUAGCAGUGAAAUGCGUAGAUAUCGUCAGGAACGCCGAUGGUGAAGACAGGUGACUGGGCCGGAACUGACACUGAGGCACGAAAGCGUGGGGAGCGAACGGG